UAAUAAGAAGAUGAUUCGUAUUUACGCUUUGUUGUUGUUGUUAUAAAGGUACGUUAACGUGCGAGAGAGGUCUGAGUGAAUCCCGAGACUGCACAUCGUAAAAUAUAACAUAACACUUUUUAAAAAUCUGCCGCCAUGGCGUUAAAAUGGUAGGCGAAGACACAAUUCUGUAAGCAAACGCGUUUUAUUUUUAAAUAUUAAUAUAGUUGUAUGUGUGCAACAUGACAGGUUAGAAAACAGAGCUCAUAACACUUUGAUAAAGUUAUAACUUUUAAAGGAAUAGGCCUAUUUCAGCUUGCUCUGGACAAGUUGUGUCUAUACUGUUAUAAUAGUCAUCAGGGAUGAUGCUCCUGUCACAAUCCUGUUGAUGUGUUUGACAAAUUCACUUUUGCACUCACCAUUAAGGAACAGUAUGCUUUUUUACAAAGCCCUGAUGUAAACAGUGAGGAGACAAGUGAGAAAAGGCCAGAUGGACCCUCAUCAGAACCAAAGACUGUCAAGAGUGAGAAAGCAGAUUCAGAGCUCAGCCAUGAAUCAGUUGAGCCCAUAUCUAAGAGCAAACCAUCUCAAACUGAUGUUAAACCCAACCCUGUGAAGACUAAUACGACACAUCAGAAUAUGCUGGAGCGUUUGAAGAAUGAGGUGGGACAAUUUAUGAAGUACGUUCAUGAUGUUUCUAGAGCAUGUGCUGAUGGGUACAACUAUAUGCCCUCGGGUGGCACUCGCUACUCUGAGGAAUAUUUCACAGAAAUUACUGGCUUGGCUGGAGGAAAUGCAAUGUAGUUAUAUAUGCACUUCUUGCAAUGGGUAAAAUAGACAUAAUAGAGAAAACAACUGAUGGCUGAAAACACCAAGCUUGCUGUUGACUAUGAGAUAGUUUCAUCUGUUAUUCCACCAGCUAAUAACUUCCACCAGCUAGCUGUUUAUACGCUUUAAGUAUCUGUGACUAUGUGAUUGUUUAUUAUGCAGUCUAGCAUUCUGUUAAAUCAAUCCUGCAACUAAAGCUAUGAAUACAUUGAACCACUAGAGAGCACUGUCACACUCAGUUUGAAUUACUGUUAAUACUCCAUGACAACAGACUAGAAGAACUGAAAAUAAAUUCCAAAUUAGGUAAAGCAGAGCUCUUGAGUCUGAAUUUUGAGCUUUCUUAUUUGUUUCCAGGCUAUUAGCACUGACUGUAAUGCAGACAAUCUCAGUGCUAUAUACGAGCCACAUGUGUGUUUAUCCAGAGAGGCCUUUCUCCAGCUCAUAAACAAUGACUCAGAGUUCAGUGAAGCAUGUUCAGCUGCCUGUUUGUGUCAAAAUGAAUCCUACCAGAGGCAACAGUCAGAGUAAGACUGAAAUUGAUCCUCUUCUGCUGAAGCCAGAGAUGAUCUGGAUAAAGAGAAGUCUGCUGUUUCAUGAAGAGAGUGUGAAACUGGCACUCAAGAGGACAGUCUCUCGCCCAGUAUUUUUUCUCACUACAGAUGACCUCUCUAAUGAAAUUGACCCACCACCUGAGGUCUUCUAAAGGAGGCAAGUGCAGAAGAUUAAUUAGACUGUGAUACUCCAGCAGAGGGCAGCGUUCUGUACAAACUCUAUGUGUUCAGCAGUGUGCACACACCCACCCGAGACACAAUAGAGAAGGACCUCAGAUGAGGUGGACCCAUGAUGUUUGUCUAUGCUGCCAUUCCAGUGCAUGUCUUAACCAAGCUGGAAUAUCAGCUGUGCUACGGAGCCAAGAUUCUGACCCACACAGAGGCCUGGCUGCUGUGGGCCGAGAAAAUUCUGCACUCCUGUACUGUGUCUUUCAUAAAUGAAUAAACAGGAGUGGAGAUCAUUUUCUUCAGGGACGAACUUUGAAUGACACCAGUGUGAAAAAUGACGAGGC